CAAAGAUUAUAGAGAACUCUAUAAUCUUUGAAAUAGGUUAUCUUUAACCGACCCAACUCUGCCAAAAUGAUGCAAAUCUCCAUGACAACGGCUAGACUUGUUUACAUCUGCCAGGCCGACAUCUUGGUAGGUAAUUUCAGACCACAGAGUGUUUUGUUGCCGGUUUUAGUUCAUCAGUUUCACCCCCCUGGUUGAAAUCAUCAAAUUCCUGAUUGACAUAUCGUAAUAAUUCCAUAUGAUGGUACAUGAAGUCCCCCUGAAA